rnacentral:rRNA from 1 species
GAUGAACGCUGGCGGCGUGCCUAAUACAUGCAAGUCGAGCGAACAGACGAGGAGCUUGCUCCUCUGACGUUAGCGGCGGACGGGUGAGUAACACGUGGAUAACCUACCUAUAAGACUGGGAUAACUUCGGGAAACCGGAGCUAAUACCGGAUAAUAUAUUGAACCGCAUGGUUCAAUAGUGAAAGACGGUUUUGCUGUCACUUAUAGAUGGAUCCGCGCCUCAUUAGCUAGUUGGUAAGGUAACGGCUUACCAAGGCAACGAUGCGUAGCCGACCUGAGAGGGUGAUCGGCCACACUGGAACUGAGACACGGUCCAGACUCCUACGGGAGGCAGCAGUAGGGAAUCUUCCGCAAUGGGCGAAAGCCUGACGGAGCAACGCCGCGUGAGUGAUGAAGGUCUUCGGAUCGUAAAACUCUGUUAUUAGGGAAGAACAAAUGUGUAAGUAACUAUGCACGUCUCGACGGUACCUAAUCAGAAAGCCACGGCUAACUACGUG